rnacentral:rRNA from 1 species
AUUGAACGCUGGCGGCAUGCCUUACACAUGCAAGUCGAACGGCAGCACGGACUUCGGUCUGGUGGCGAGUGGCGAACGGGUGAGUAAUACAUCGGAACGUGCCCAGUCGUGGGGGAUAACGUAGCGAAAGCUUCGCUAAUACCGCAUACGAUCUAAGGAUGAAAGCGGGGGAUCGCAAGACCUCGCGCGAUUGGAGCGGCCGAUGGCAGAUUAGGUAGUUGGUAGGGUAAAGGCCUACCAAGCCGACGAUCUGUAGCUGGUCUGAGAGGAUGGUCAGCCACACUGGGACUGAGACAAGGCCCAGACUCCUACGGGAGGCAGCAGUGGGGAAUUUUGGACAAUGGGCGCAAGCCUGAUCCAGCCAUUCCGCGUGCAGGAUGAAGGCCUUCGGGUUGUAAACUGCUUUUGUACAGAACGAAAAGGCUCUGGUUAAUACCCGGGGCUCAUGACGGUACUGUAAGAAUAAGCACCGGCUAACUACGUGCCAGCCGCCGCUGUAA